rnacentral:tRNA from 1 species
GGGCGAGUAGCUCAGUUGGCUAGAGCGCUGCUCUUACAAAGCAGAGGUCGCCGGUUCGAGCCCGGCCUUGCCCA